rnacentral:rRNA from 1 species
UACAUGUGGGGCAAGCGUUGUUCGGAAUUACUGGGCGUAAAGGGCGCGCAGGCGGUCUGGUAAGUUUGGAGUGACAGUGCUCGGCUUAACUGAGCAAGGCCUUCGAAAACUGCUAGACUUGAGCACUCAAGAGGGACAUAGAAUUCCGGGUGGGAGUGGUGAAAUGCGUAGAUAUCCGGAGGAAUACCAAAGGCGAAGGCAGUGUCCUGGGGAGUGUCUGACGCUCAGGCGCGAAAGCUAGGGGAGCGAACAGG